UCAUCAUGUAUCUGGAGAUCAGAUGUCUCCGUAGACCAAAAAUCUGCUGUAGCAGUCACUCUGGAAUAGUGAUGAACAGACACCUGCCCAUCACAAUCAGUCACAAUCAGUCACAAUCAGUCACAAUCAGUUGCAGUCAGUCACUUCCAUAUUAUUGGACCUUCUCGCAGUCACUCUCAACACCUCAGCCAAUCACCUCUCACACCUGGAAUCCACCCCUGUUCCUUUGUUUGAAGCCCAUCAGCUUCAUUCAGUCACAGACAGUCACUGAACAGCAGGAUCACCCCACAGCACUCAUCUCUGGAAACCAUUCACUUUUUACAAGCCUGGAAACCUGGAAAUCACAGCAUCAAAGAGGACGCCUGCAACUGCCUUUGGAUUUCUGGAUGUCACCCACCUGAACCCACAUUGUGCUGAACAUUGAAUAUUGGUUAGGCUUGAACUGAUGGCGAGCUACCCUGGACCAAACUGGACAACCGUCUGACAUGUUUCACCCCUUCACCCACCCCACUCAUUGGCAGGUCUAAAGCCCCACAGCUUCAUCCCUUCCAGAAUGGUGUGGUAGGACUUUGUUGGACUUUGUUGGAUUUGUUGGAUUUGUUGGACUUUGUAAGAAUUUGUUGGAACUGUUUAUUGAAUCAGCUUAUUGUUCACUUCAACCAGGAAUUGUCAGUGGAGUAUUGAUAAUUGAACUAAGCACAUAGUCACUUUAUAUUGUUGACAGUGAAGCUGCUUAUUCUUAAUUGGAUUGAUUGAAGGACAGGUGAAGGUUGAUUUUUUUGAUUUUCUGAUUCUGAUUUUCUGUUAUUGUUUUGAGUUUUGUAUUAUUAUUUUGAUCAUUGUUGUUGCCUUGAUAUAUUCAAGUAUUUUCUGUUGAUUAUUUUUAAUAAAUUACCGGUAAACAAAUUUUUGUGUUUGUCUUCAUUAAUUUUCACACAGCUCCCAGAGCCGAACCUUAUCCUAGCCCGUAGCCCAUAGCCCAACUAAUGGUAGUCUAUUUCCAUGUGCAAGUGCUACACUGCUCUCCGGCGGCUCAAGACGAUCACGAUGAUCAUCAUCAUCAUCAUCAUCUUCUGCUCUUGCACAGCCGAAUGUAAACAACCUCAGAAACCAGUUGGACUUCUUCUUUUUCUUCUUCCUGUCUGUCUUUUUCAGCUGUGGAAGCUCAUCUUCUUCUUCUUCUUCUUCUGCGUUGUUUUCAGCAGGAGCCUCGUCUGCUGUGGUUUCUCCAGUUGAGGAACAUCUGGUUUCCGUCUCCGUUACCUGGCCGGUCUGGGAGACGUCCACUUUAUUCUCCUCUAAC